rnacentral:lncRNA from 1 species
UUAUGGUCGAUUCCAACUCUAUCUUAGUUGGCAUUUCUGUGAUUGCAACUCCAUUGGAUGAUUAUCCUUGUUUUAGAAACACGAGUUAGUGAUGUGUGCCAAAUUUGUGACUGGAAACGUUUUGACUAAUAGAAAACAGGAAAAUAAGAGAGAACAUGUUGGAAAGUAAAGAUAUUGCUGACCCUUUAUCUUCAUAAUCAAGUUAGUAAAUUCAGCUUUAACCUGCUGUCUCAUCUUGUUGGCAAAAUGUUCAUAUCAUAUGAAAUCGUAAGCAUAUGCAACUUAGAAAAUCGCACAGAAUGUGCAUCUAUGAGCUUUCCUGUUCUCAUUCUACAAUUUACGUAUUACAAAUGACUAUUUUAUACCCAUUCUUGGCAUAUUUUAAUAAUAUCGUAUCAUUUCUGAGUUUAGGUUGAUCUGCUGAAGAACAAGUUUGGGUUUGACAACGCUUUCAAUUAUAAAGAAGAACCUGAUUUGGAUGCAGCUUUGAAAAGGUCAGUUGAUCAGAAUCAAACUAUUAUUUUAUAGCUUUGACUAUCAAACUAUUAUUUUAAAGCUUUAACUUAUGUCUUAAUUACAAGGGGAAAGUCCAAUAAAAGGCAUUAGCAAUCUCUAACAUCAUCAAGAUUUAGUGAUUUAGCCGCCAAUCCUAAAACAGUGAGAGUAAGUUGAAAUGCGCAACAGUGUGAGCAUGUGGCUGUUGACGAAAAACUCAUGUCUUUGUCCUCUUUGUAGAUAUGUUCCAUGGUUUUCAGUGUUUGCUUAGUCUAAAAUUGUGAUUUUCUCACCAGGUACUUUCCUGAAGGCAUUGACAUAUACUUUGAAAACGUUGGGGGGGAAAUGCUUGAUGCAGUGCUACAAAACAUGAGGGUCCAUGGCCGGAUUGCAGUUUGUGGGUUGAUAUCGCAGUACAACAUUGACGAGCCUGAAGGUUGUCGCAAUUUAAUAUAUCUGAUCAGUAAACAGGUUCGCAUGCAAGGUUUCCUGGUUUUUAGUUACUACCAUCUUUACGAGAAGUUUCUUGAAAUGGUUCUGCCGGCAAUAAAAGAAGGGAAGAUAACGUAUGUGGAAGACGUAGUGGAAGGACUUGAGAGCGCUCCAGCCGCUCUGAUAGGGCUCUAUGCCGGCCGCAAUGUAGGAAAGCAGGUGGUUGUGGUUUCCCGUGAAUGAUUUCAUCAGGCUCUCCAUGCCUCCGAAGUAUCACCCUUUAGCUAUAUGGUGUAAUCGUCUAGUGUGAAAUGCAAAUGCUUUGACAUUUACAAGUUCAUAUUCUACAGGUUUAGGGCAAGCAUAUUAUCUCGACGAGAACUGUGCUUGAUCUCUUACCUUAAGCUAUAAAUAAAUGUCUUUCGACUUCCUUAAUGAUAUCAAGCACUAAGUUUAGUAGAUCUUUCAAUUGUGUAAGAGGUUUUAUUUAUUUAUUGAAUAAAUGAUAUUAUCUACAUUAAGAGGAAGGGACAGCUUCACAAUGGGUUAGUAAUAAUGUGGUUCAAAUUUGCUUUUGUCAAGAAUUGAACCUAAGACAUCUCACUUAUAAAUGAAGAAGAAUAAUACUAGAUCUUACUAGUCCUAAGUGGUAUGUCAAACGAAUGUUGACUUUUCUUUUUACUUUUUGGCUAACGGACCCUCCUUGUCAAAAUAUUGAAUAAGCAAACAAGUUGGAAAGUACAAGUCUCGGCUUUCAGAUUUGGAUCCUUCGCUGUGCCUCCUACGCAAAGCACACAAGCCGUUGGAUCAAAAUUCAACGGUUACAAUUAUUAUAACUUUUAGAAGAUCCUUUUGUUUGUAUCCGUUGGAUUAAAAUCCAACAGUUCGUGUGCUUUGCUCAAAAGGCUUAACCUACCAAGCUCAGGAGAGGAUCCAACGGCCAGUAUCAUGACUUCGGUGACUAGCAGAUGUGUAUCCUUAGAGGGAGGGUGAAAAAUAAUUUUGCAUUCGUGUAAGUUGGAAAAGAUUCAAUUGCCUUAUAUGGAAAAAAGUUCUAUGACCAAUUUGCAAAAACUUCCAACAUACGUUCAUGAAAAAAAAUGCACAAUUUGCAUCUCUAAAUAAUAUACAAAGUACGAUGCAAAUGUUAUUUCUAAACUUUCUAAGCAAUUUUGUUAUUUUAAUUAGGAUCCUUAUUUUAUAUUACUGUUUUCAAUGAUUAUUUUGAACAACAAUAUACAAACCACGAUGUCUAUCUUAAAGGAUUCUUGAACGUACUUAGGUAAAUUGCUUACAACCUUUAUAUUUGGAAUUGUGCAUUAUAGUUAAACUUCUUAUUUUAUCAUCAUUACUUGUAGAUUAACCAUGAAAAUCUAAAGCAUCAAGUGCAAGCAAAUGGGUGGCAAGUAUGGCUUUGAUUUCACACGUAGACACUAUGUUUACAUAUGUACAUGUUGUCCAUAUGUUGCUUGCUUCAUAUAUUAGGAGUUCAUCCCUAGUUAGCCUAUAACUUUGGCUGAAAACUUAUGAAUCUGAAAAUUUUGAUUUAAGGACUUGGGUAGAUAUUUGACAUUUUGCAUGAGAGAGAAAGGAAGAAAGAUUUAUUAUGUUCUCCAUUUUGUGUUUUUCCAGUCUUGAAUUCUAGGAAAGUAAGAUUAGGGAUUGAGGCCCAGCAAAUUAAGCUUUAGAAGAAGUACGAGGCCAAGGUCCCCUACUCCUGUCAUCAAAAGCUUCAUUUUACAGCACCCUUUAUGCAUUGAUGUUCACGUUCUAAAAAAAAUGACACCAGCAAACCAAAAAAAAACGCGGAGAGGCUAGUAAAAAUAAUAAGGCAAGUGGAUGUUUUUAGAAAUUGCAAAAAAUUAUAUUCGAAGGUAGUUUCAAAUUUCACAUAUUUUUGUCUGUGUCAGCUUAAUUUUGUUUUUUUCAUGUCAAUUUUGACAUUUCGGUUGGAGUAAAUGAUAAGUCGUUUAUUAUCGUUAUAUAUCUAUGGGAGAUUUUUUAUUUUCCACCGCUUGCAAUUCCCAUUCCCAUUGCUUUGCAAUCAUCAGCAGUAGCAUUGCUUAUAUCGUCUUACGCCUACAGAGAGAGAAUCAAUCUCAAUGGCGGCAAGUACAGAGGAAGUGAUCAGCAACAAACAGGUGGUACUGACUCUACCGAGAGACCAUGUGACUAGCUUCCCCAAAGAAUCUGACAUGCAACUCACCACCACCACCACCAAGCUCAAGCUUCCAGAAGGUUCCAAAGGGGUUUCGGUGAAGAACCUAUACUUGUACUGCGACCCUUGUAUGAGAGGCUGCAUGACCAAGCGUGAACUGGGCACCAAUUAUGUCGAUUCAUUCAACGCCGGUUCGGUCAAUCACUGUAUAUAUUAUCUUAUAUGAUUUUAGUGUAAUUUCUUCUUUUUGACUUUCUGCCUCUACAGCCUCUGACUGCCUUACUAAGAGCAGCUCCACCGUAUUCAAUAGCUCGGUGGACCGGUUGUUGCUCCAACCUAAUUGCCCCAGCUAGCAACUCCAGCCCAUGCGGGCGAUGGGGCUCGAGGGAGGCCCGGUGGAUAGGCCAGGCGGGAAUAAACCGCCAGAGAGCAUUAGGCCCAAGUGAUGCAAGGUUGACGUCAGGGUGACUUUAGCCACGAUUUAAAACAUAGGUCACCGGAACCCUCGAAUGAGAACACCAGAAUAUUUGGCAGGGAUUCAUCCCGAUUCCGAUCUCGACUUAAAACUCCAUUAAAAAUUGUAAUUUAAGCAUAAAAAUGAUGCUAAAAUGAAAAUGAACAAGAUUCUACCACUAUAAGUAACAACAGUGGUCGAGAUUGGCUGGGAUUGGUCACAGAGCUUGCUGGAUUCUGGAAAAACGAAACAGAAAGUAUGCACAGCGAAAAGAACAAAAUUUAACCAUUAAGGGCACGUUUGUUUGGCUUCUUUAAAUACUAGAUUGGAUUGCCUUAGAUAGGAGUCCCAGUCACCAAAUCUUGCCUUCUCCUUCGUACAUGAGUUGCAACCCCUUCUCCAGUCAUCAAAUCAGAAGGAGCACUCGCCGAUCUCCGUCCCGCGAACCCAACCCCCUAUUUGCUUCAGCAAUGAACUUGUCCAGUUAAGCUUCCAAUAAGCUUAAUCCACCAUGAACAACACUUCAAUUCAAAGAUUAAAGCUUAUAAAUCCGAAUUACACAAAAUAUCAAAUUAUGUGGUAAACCCAGAAGUCAAUUACCUUGCAGUGCUCUUCUCCAGAAAUUUGUAGGAAAAAACGAAAUCAAAUUUGGAGUUGUAAAACAUAAAUUAUAGUAUAAAUUUGAUAUGUGAUUUUGAAUUUGCAGUGCUCUCUCUCUGCUUUGAGGAACAAGAAGAAAGACUUGUUGGUCUUUCGAUCCAUAUCAGAUGCAAAAUCCACAGCUUCCUCCUUUGAGGAAGAAAACAAGGAGAAACGGGGAGAAAAAGAAAGCGGGGAGGGAGACAGUUGGCCGAAGAAAAAAGGGAAGACAAUGAGAGAGAGGGGAGUGAGAGAAUGGGAAUGAACAAGAAAAAAAAAUGGUAGAAGUUUCGAAAGAUGGGAAGAGAUUUCCAAAAGGAAAAGAUAAAUUAAUAAUAUAAUAUUAAUUUAUACAAAGUAAAUAAUAUAAUAUUAAUUAUAAAUAAAAAAAACACUAAUAUUUUAUUGCCUAUUGCCAGGGCUACUCAGUGUAGGGGUGGAGAUGUAAAAGGUAAUUACUGUUCAUUAAGGGCAGUUACUGUUCACUUGGUGGAUUAAAUAGUGAAUAGCCCUAGGAGGUCUUUGCGGUGGAGUUAGCUCUAAUAAUUUGUUUUAAAUCAAAGUUGAAUACUUUAGGUUAGGCUAGGGCGUGCCCUUUCCCUUUUAUUCAAGUUCGAAUUGGGUGCUUGAGCAAUUUAGAAUAUUGUGUGAAAAAAAUAAUCCACAAGAUUGUUAAAAUUCCUCACUAUUUUUUAGAUUUAAAAUCGAUAGAAGUGAUGAUUGUGCACCGUCAAUCAUUUUGGUCCUUCUAUGACAAUUCAAGGGAGAAGUUGAUUUGACAAAAAUACUCAAUUGAACAGGGAUUAUCUCACAAAAGACCAAAUGAUUGGCGGUGGACAGCCUUAGAGGCCCCUUCUGUCGAUUUUAAAUCUCAGAACCAAAAUGAGGAAUUAUGUCAAUCUCAUGUACCAUUUUGAAUAAAAAGCCAAAAAUAUAUAAAUAAAAAAAUUGAAUCCUUUAGGCAUUUCUGAUGUAAUAUUAGUGGAGUACAAUGGAACUAGGGAACCCAAUUAUUAAUCUUGAUGUUUAGAUAGCCUUUUCGUUUUAAUGAUUUAUAUAGUUUGAGACAACUUAUAAUUCGCCCUUUUUGAUGAUACAAUGAUUUAUAUAGUUUGAGACAACUUGUAUCAGUUAAAACUUAAAUCUUAUCAAUACUGAGACACAGCUUCCUUUACUUAUUAACUAUGCAUUUUGUCCAACGAAAAAGCUUUGUUAUGCAAUGUAUAAACCAAAGAGGAUAGCGAUCUAUUCAAUGUUGUAGUUUUAUUUGACGUAUUUGAUAUUGAAAUGCUGGUGUGGCAGCCUAUAGUCGGAUAUGGAGUUGCCAAAGUUUUGGAAUCCGGGGAUCCCAAGUUUAAGAAAGGCGAUUUGAUUUGGGGAAUGACCGGGUGGGAGGAAUACAGUGUCAUUACUGCAAGAGUCUUUGUUUAAGAUUCAGCACACUGAAGUGCCUCUCUCUUACUAUACUGGAAUUCUUGGUAUGCUGCUAUGUAUAUUGGCUAGUGCUAUUUCCCUUGCCUCGGGAUUUAUUUUUUUUAAAAAAAUUGUUCUGCCACAAGCAGCUAUCUCAAGUCUUGUAUCUUUUAUGAUGGUACUUGAAUAUUGCGAGCUAAGGACCCUGAACUUGACAAGGGCCUAACCCGUUGGAUGACAUUCAUGAAUCAUUUUUGUAUGUCAGGUACUAUUUGGUACGUGGGAUGAGACGGGACAAGCCGUUCCGUCCCACGUUUGGUGCGCCUAAAAACUGUGGAACAGGUUGUCCCAUGGGACGAAAUUUGGCUAAUUUUUCGUUCCGCCUCUUCCCCAUGGAACGACCCGUUCCACAUCCGUGGAACACAAAUUUAUAACAUUUUAUGACAAAAUUUCUCCUUAUCUUUUUCAAUAUUUACAUCAUCUGUUCCGUCCCGUCUGCGUACCAAACGGUAUAGAAUCUUGUUGCAUCUUUGAGUACCAUAGUUUCAUUGGACUAUUCUCAUGCUAAAAAAUAGCAUUCCCUCACAGAAUGAUUCUGUAUGGUUGUAUCUCUAGUUGUGUUCUGCCUCCAGUGACCUCUAUUAUAAUACUUGAAGUGAACUGAUUUGCUAAUUCUUACAGCUCUUUGUAAACUAGAUCUUUACAAACCGAUGUCCCAUAUUCCAUUUCAUAAUUAGUAGUUUGAUUUGGAAGUACGGAAUUUUUUUAGCAUAAUGUAAUUCUGGUCCAGUUGGUCAUAUGGAUCUGUAGCAUUGUUCUCUGAUUGAAUGCAAUUGUUGAAGCGAUCCAUCCUAAUUAAUUCAACCAAAUAUUCAGUUAUAUGCUUUUGCCAUGCAUGAUAUAUUUACUUGAUCCACAACGGUCAUCUAAAGUGUUCAUUUUUUGAAGGUAUGCCUGGAAUGACUGCUUAUGCUGGUUUUUAUGAGGUCUGCAAUCCUAAGAUGGGAGAGACGGUCUUUGUUUCAGCAGCAUCUGGAGCAGUAGGUCAGCAGCUUGUUGGCCAAUUUGCAAAGUUUUUGGGUUGCUAGGUUGUUGGAAGUGCUGGAAGAACAAGUUUGGGUUUGACAACGGUUUCAAUUAUAUAGAAGAACCUGAUUUGGAUGCAGCUUUAAAAAGGUA